AUGGAGGAUGGAGGACAGUGAGAAGAAGAAAGGAAGAGAAAUGCAAAGUGUGGCAGCCGCCAAGAGUGAAAACCCACCAAGAUGGAAGUGCCAUGCACAUACUGGACAGAAGGGGGCAGGUGGGACAAGCCCCACAGCCCCCUCAAAAACGACCACUUCCAGGAGUCAGUGCUCCCUGGGGGGCAGGCUCCGCCAGCCCUUGGCCACACGUGGCUCUGGCACCCAUGGUCCCAGUGCCUUGGAUGGAGGCGGCCAGGUCUGAUGCUCUGGAAUCCAGUCCCAUUUCCAUCCCGGCCACGCCCAUCCGGCAGCCUCUUUGGUCGCAUUCAGCCCCUACUCACCUGGAGACCCCGGGUGGGGCAUGAGUGCACCUGGUGGGGUAGGGGCCGAAGGGAUCAGGGGAAGCCUCUAGCCUGGAGGGUACAGGGCACGCUUCCCCAAGGGUGGACCUGGCAAGAGGAAGCCCAAGAGCUGGGCCCGCCACCCAGGCCGGGCUAGGGACAUGGCAGGGUCUGGGCAUCCUGGGGCUGGACUUGGGUGACCUGCAAGGCACAGGGAGGGGAGAGAUGGGCGGCUCUGCCCCCCUGAGGCCCCG
rnacentral:lncRNA from 1 species